rnacentral:rRNA from 1 species
AUUGAACGCUGGCGGCAUGCCUUACACAUGCAAGUCGAACGGCAGCGCGGGAGCAAUCCUGGUGGCGAGUGGCGAACGGGUGAGUAAAGUAUCGGAACGUGCCCAGUCGUGGGGGAUAACGUAGCGAAAGUUACGCUAAUACCGCAUACGAUCUAUGGAUGAAAGCGGGGGAUCGCAAGACCUCGCGCGAUUGGAGCGGCCGAUAUCAGAUUAGGUAGUUGGUGGGGUAAAGGCUCACCAAGCCGACGAUCUGUAGCUGGUCUGAGAGGACGACCAGCCACACUGGGACUGAGACACGGCCCAGACUCCUACGGGAGGCAGCAGUGGGGAAUUUUGGACAAUGGGCGGAAGCCUGAUCCAGCCAUGCCGCGUGCAGGAUGAAGGCCUUCGGGUUGUAAACUGCUUUCGUACGGAACGAAAAGGUUUGGCCUAAUAAGCUGAGCUCAUGACGGUACUGUAAGAAUAAGCACCGGCUAACUACGUGCCAGCAGCCGCCGUAA